GAAAUGCGAUAAUUAAUGAGAAUUGCAGAAUUCAGUGAAUCAUCGAGUCUUUGAACGCACAUUGCGCCCCCUGGUAUUCCGGGGGGCAUGCCUGUCCGAGCGUCAUUGCUGCCCUCAAGCACGGCUUGUGUGUUGGGCUUCCGUCCCUGGCAACGGGGACGGGCCCAAAAGGCAGUGGCGGCACCAUGUCUGGUCCUCGAGCGUAUGGGGCUUUGUCACCCGCUCCCGUAGGUCCAGCUGGCAGCUAGCCUCGCAACCAAUCUUUUUAACCAGGUUGACCUCGGAUCAGGUAGGGAUACCCGCUGAACUUAAGC
rnacentral:misc_RNA from 1 species